CAGAUCAAGAGCAUCUCAUCCUCCGGCUGCUGAGUCAUCCUGCUCUGGCAGUUAUUUAAACAGAAGGCUCCAGGAGACAUACAAUCAACACUCCACUCAGACAAUGCCCAGACCUCCAGAAACCAUGUGUCAAGCUCGGAUUGCCUUAGACAGGUGCAAUUUAAGAACAGCUUUCAUCCUCUUUUCUCUCAUAUUGUCACACUAUGUGUUCUGACUUCUGGCUCCUUUCCUCACAAGAAGCUCACCCAGCUGGAACUCUUAUGGGACCUUGGCACCAGAGACCACAAAUUCCUCUUUGAAGUUUUCUAACAGCAACAAUGGUAUUUCUGACUUGGCUUUCUUGUAUUUCUCUCACGUUAACAAAAUUGGUUCAGCAUCUACCAUGGGCUACAUGCUGAGCUACAGAGUUUCGCUCUGUCGCCCAGGCUGGAGUGCAGUGGCGCGCGAUCUCGGUUCACUGCAAGCUCCACCUCCCGGGUUCACGCCAUUCUCCUGCCUCAGCCUCCUGAGUAGCUGGGACUACAGGCGCCCGCCACCACACCCAGGAAUCCAACUUGCUGUUUGCUAUCACAUGUGCUAUACAUGCUGUUGAUGAAACUGCUAAAGGGGCUGAAUGUGACUGACGUCUUUGGAAGGAUGAGACUUAGCGUGCCUGUACAGUUGUGUCCAAAUGCUGUCCUCAUCUCCCAAUGAAAAGCUGAACUAGGGCCAUGCCUGGGACAGACAGAGAAUGGCCUUCCAGCAGACAUGCCAAGAAGCAAGCCAGGGUCAGUGAGUGAAGAGGAGGGCAGGCCCAUUUGAAGCAACACAGUUUAUGAACAAAACCCAUCAGAAGAUGUCAGAAGAUAAGGAUUUUUGUCCUGAUGCUACACUUACCAGCUGUCCCUCAGUGUUCUACUUCUUAAAAAAAGAGAGGUUGGUCCUGAUCCCUGGUUCUUAACCAGGGGAAAAUGAAGUGGGGCCAGGGCAUGUGCAGACUUAAAAAUUACACAGGGGAAUGUAGGCACGAUCUGUUUAAGAAAUACUGGACUAAAUGGUCUCUAAUCUGUGAUUGUAGAUUAAAGAAUAAUCUACAAUCUACACCGUGUUGGCCAGGCACGGUGGCUCACACCUGUAAUUCCAGCACUUUGGGAGGCUGAGGUGUGUGGAUCACAUGAGGUCAGGAGUUCGAGACCAGCCUCACCAAUGUGGCAAAACCCCCUCUCUACUAAAAAUACGGAAAAUUAGCUGGGUGUGGUGGUGCAUGUCUGUAGUCCCAGCUACUCGGGAGGCUAAGGCAUGAGAAUUGCUUGAACCUGGGAGGUGGAGGUUGCAGUGAGCCAAAAUCACGCCACUGCACUCCAGCCUGGGUGACAGAGUGAGACUCUGUCUCAAAAAAAAAGAAAAAAUAAAUAAUCAAAUGUAAAGUUAGCACAUAAAGGAGGCAUGUACAUAUUAUUAAAAUCUAUAUGACUACCUCUCCUUUUUCAUUUUUGGCUCAAUAUCUGUAUCUGAACACCUAAUUAAUGAAAGGAAAACAUUUGUAAUAUGUAGCAACUAAAAUGUCACCUUCUCUGUGGGGAUCACAAAGUCCUUGGCAAUCACUUCCAUACCAGACAAGUGAGUAUUGUCCUUCUCCUUUUCCAGAUGGAUAAACAGAGGCAACCCGAGGAUAAAGGCCUUGCUCAGUGUCACACAUUUCAGUCACUAAAUAAGACACAAUGGAUGCCAGUAUUCUCAUCCCCUCACAAAUAAAGAGCCUUCAAGCUCUUGCAGUCAACAAGAACUUUUGGAAUGAUUUCACUGCCUGAAAAGGCAGAUACAUAGGUGACACCCACAAAUAGGAAGAAAAUCAACCUGAACCUGAGUGUGUGGGCUCACUGACUCUAAGCAGUAGAGACAGAAGAAAAAGUUUUAGCAAAGAAGGGUUCUGAAAGAAAAUAAAUAUAGCUCGUUAUCAAGUGCUGUUUUUACACAGUAAAACAUGGGCAAAAUUACUCUUCUUUAAGUAGUAAUUCUUAUCUCUUGAUUAAGUCACCUACUCAUUCAUUUAAUAAAUACAUACUGAUUGUUUUCUAUGUGUUGAGCACUCAUCUCUGUAUUGGAAAUAUAAUAAUGACCAAAGUUGACAAUAGUAAUAACAAUAAUAGCUAAUAUAGCAGGCACUAAUAAUUAUUUGUUGAGUAAUAUGUCAAAAUUCAGUGUGAACAGCAUUCUAUUUGGGGCUGCAUCCACUGACUAUAACACAGCUAAUCUAUCUGAAAUGUUCCAGCUUUGGGCCUCUCUAACAGAAGAAGCUGUUGUUGGGCCUGCCUCUAGUUGGCGAUGCAUCCACCAAUGAGAAUGAAUUUAUGAUCGACCACUCUUCCUGUAAAGGCCGCUGGAACUGACAGCAUUGUGAUUUUCUUUUACUGUUAGUUUUAAAUUACUAGAACCAACUCAAUUACUAGAACGAACUUUACUUCUUUGUUUCCUACUUAUCAAAACAGUAAAAACAACAAGUAAAAGAAAUGCCAUCUUAAUAUUGUUUUGAUGACAAAACAGUAUUCCUUUUAGUUGUGCUUCAAAUGGAAUAAGAUGCAAACAGGCUUGGUAUGGUGGCUCACCCCUGUAAUCCCAGCCCUUUGGGAGGCCAAGGUGGAAGGAUUGCUUGAGGCCAUGAGUUUGAGACCAGCCUGCGCAACAUAGCAAGACCGUGUCUCUACAAAAAAUAAAAAAUUAGCUGAGUGUAGUGGUGUGUGCUUGUGGUCCCAGCUACUUUUGAGGCUGAGGAGGGAGAAUCUCUUGAGCCCAGAAGGUCGAAGUUGCAGUGAGCCGUGAUCGUGCCAUUGCUCUCCAGCUUGGACAACAAAGCAAGACCCUAUGUCAAAAAAUAAAUAAAUAAAAGACAUAAACAUAUCUGAGAUUAACUUUCAGUGGUAAAUUUGUUCCAUAUAUGAUUUUUAAGGUUAAAUGCUUUGGAAGCUUUAAAAACCAUUUCAGCCCUUUUAAAUGCCAACUUACACUGAUGAUGCUCUCAGAUGUUAGGAAAUCUUUUGAGCAGAAAAUGGAAGUGGGGGUGUUGAGGCAGGGAGGAGAGUGAUGCAAUAUUCCUUAGUGUCAUCCUGUGAUUUCACAAUUUGUUUUUCAAUCUGUUUGGACUUUCAAAAGGGAAGACUCUCAUAUGUCAACAAGCCCAUGAACUGAAGCUUAAAACACUGGAAACAACAACUGUAGAGUUUCAAGUAUAUGUACAUUUAUGUAUUCAUGUUCCUUGAUGGGAAUGCUGGCUGGUGUGAAUGUUCAAUCUCCUGAGAAAUGUAAAUUUUUCUCUGACAGAUUUAUUAGCUUGCUGUAUCUGAGCACAUGAGCAAAAACAAUGCCUAAUAAGAAAACUUUCUCUCUCCUUCAAAGUCAAACUUGGGAGAAAUGAAGGGAAAUCGAGUUUUCUUUGCUUGACAGUGUUCAACAUUCUUGUAGUCAGUGUGCUCAUGAAGAUUGCAAACUUUUUUUUUUUUUUAGAGCAGCUAGGACUACAGGCGCGCACCACCACACCCAGCUAAUUUGUGUAUUUUUAGUAGAGAUGGGGUUUUAACUAUGUUGGCCAAGCUUGUCUCAAACUCCUGACCUCAAGUGAUCCAUUCGACAGCUCUUUCUUUUUUUUUUUUUUUUUUGAGACAAAGUCUCGCUCUGUCACCCAGGCUGGAGUGCAGUGGUAUGAUCUCAGCUCACUGCAACCUCCGCCUCCUGGGUUCAAGCAAUUCUCAUGCCUUAGCCUCCCGAAU
rnacentral:lncRNA from 1 species